GAAGGGGGGUUGCUUCCUUCCAGUGGGGCAAUUCAUCUCAGAGGCCACACAGCAUGAUCCCUCUGACGAGAGAUACUGUUGCCAUGUGGUUUUUGCCCAGGUUUUUUCUUUUCCUUUGGCACUGUAACUGGAGGUUUCUGGUCUGCUUCUCUGCUGCUUGGGAGCCCAGAGCCAGUGCGUGCCAUGCCGGGACCCGGGAGUACCCUAUCCCCUAACGGGGUUGCCCGCUCUGCACAGCCCGACCCCGAGACCUGCCAUUGCCGCUCGUUCGCCAUUAUUGUGUGGAGGGUGGGCUCAGUUCGCACCACAGCGCCCCCUGCAGCUGUGGGGGAAUCAUCGCACCUGCCCUGCCCAGCCAGGAGCCACCAGCAUCCCUGCCGGCUGUGACCAUAAUUACACCAAGGGGGAAAAUGCCUGACAGCCAAGAGAAGGCUGUUACUGGGUUUCUGUUUUUGUUUGUUGUUGCUGCCAUUAUUGUUGUUUGUUUGCCUUGUUAUACACAUAUAUAUAAGUAAAGAACUGUUAUUCCUUUUCCAAUA